UACGAAGGGGGCUAGCGUUGCUCGGAAUUACUGGGCGUAAAGCGCACGUAGGCGGAUUGUUAAGUCGGGGGUGAAAUCCUGGAGCUCAACUCCAGAACUGCCUUCGAUACUGGCGAUCUCGAGUUCGGGAGAGGUGAGUGGAACUGCGAGUGUAGAGGUGAAAUUCGUAGAUAUUCGCAAGAACACCAGUGGCGAAGGCGGCUCACUGGCCGAUACCUGACGCUGAGGUGCGAAAGCGUGGGGAGCAAACAGGGAUUAAGAAACCC
rnacentral:rRNA from 1 species